CAGUUACGUAAUGUAGCGCUAUAGACAGGUUUCACAUGCUUCCAUGGCAUCAAUGGAGACUAGUGGGUUUGGAUCCUGAACAGAGCUGCUGCAGAAAGUAUGAAGAAUGUGUUAUGAGUUCAAUUCCCUUCUGUGGUUCUUGAUGACCCGAUAGCACAUAUUUCUAUGUUAUUGUGUAUCAACCCAGCUAGUUUUUCCAUUAAUCCAGUCUCUCAGAAUUCCAGGAGUGAUGUUGUUAUAUCACUGUUUUGUUAUAU